rnacentral:tRNA from 1 species
GUGGGUGUAGCUCAGUUGGUUAGAGCCCUGGUUUGUGGUACCAGUUGUCGUGGGUUCGAAUCCCAUCAUCCACCCCA